AUGUAGGGCCAGGCCAUGACGUCACUUGUCGUUGACCAAUCAGGACGCUCUCUACCGCGCUGUUUCUGGCAAGGUCCAUGGUUUCUGACCCAGAAGAAAUGGCUCUAACGCAACAACCGCCGUAUCUCAAUGGAAAAAAAAACUCUAUGCUGGUUCGUAUUUAAAAUGGAAGUGACCGAAUGGGUACAGCAAAGCCUUUAUAUAUAUAUCGACGCCGUUAGCAGGGCUGUCCAACUGACUAAAAAAAUAUAUUUCAGAUAAAAAAACGGCUACGAAAAUCAUAUCAACUGGAGCUCUCAAGCGCCUCGUCAGAGGCUCUUUAGAAUUCCCAAUACGCUCCUUCAGAAGAUAUUUCACGACUUAUCACAAUUACGUGUCUGAUUUCUACGGAGAAUCUGAUUGGAUGUCAUUGUCUAGAACCGGACUGAAUGAAAUACUCUUCGCUUCGAUGGCUGGUUGUUGCAAGGAAUCUUUUUAUUGUUUGAACCGCGUCUUGGGAGUGGAAGUUCCAGUUCCUGGAGUCGAAUUUUCAUAGUUUGAAUCACGUCUUGGGAGUGGAAGUUCCAGUUCCUGGUUCAUGGAGUGUAGCACCGAGGACGAGAACCGUUCUGAACUAUGAAUGCAGCACCGUGGACAUGUACGGAUUUCAAUCCUACAAGACUGCAGCACCGAGGAUGAGAAUGGGGUUAGCUCCUCACCGGGCGGUCGUGGAAGAAACAUGGCAGGGAUAAUUUUAACGUAGUUGUAGCUAGUUCUGAUUAUGUGUUAUUUGUAUUCUUAAAGGGAGAGGGUUUAUUAUAUAAAUUUGUUUAGCAUAUUUUUCGUCGUCUCUUAAACUGCUUGGCAGACGUUCUCUAAAUUGGCUAACAUAAACGGUAUCAAAUUGUUUUAUAGUGAAAGGUUGUACAAAUUUAUGAAGCUGAUUUCUGUAAUGUUUAUUUGUAGUAUAUAAACAGUACAAGUUUUGGCAUCCGUUCUCCGAGUUGGCUCAUUUGCCAUCUACAUGAUCAGUGAACAGCAGCAACCUUUAUAGUUGUUAAUGAGGAAAAAAAAAUAUCUUGGCAUGUCUGGUAUUUAUUACACAAAAAGGAUUAAUACAAGCAGACAAAGGUCAUUCUGGGUUUUCGACCCUCUCGGAACAAGAGCACAGACCUCGAAAUUCUAAAAUUGUUAAAAGUUGAGGCGUCCAGAAAAAGGAAAAUUUCUAUAACAGCCCUGGAUCACCAGAUUCUUACUUAGUUUCACUUGAGUUAACGGCGAUCCUCUUGCCUCUUAAAUUAUUCUCGAGCGUCUCUGUAAAAUAAGAGAAAUGAGAAUUACAACAACAUGCUUCAUAGGGAAACUACAAACAUGAAGAAUCAAACUAAUAUCGACUGUAAGAACUCAAUGAUAUGGACUGAAUAGUAUUAUGAUAGUUCUUAAUCGAUAUUAAUGAUUGAAUUCUUAUCUUAUCUUUUCGAUACCUUACUUUUAAAAUUCAGCUUACUCAUAAGUUUUGAAAAUCUUCAAUUGUCAAGUUCUGAAAAUCUAAGCUAAAGGCUUGCCCGCACGAGCGGGCCUGAUCGGCGGACCUCCUCUCUAACAGGCGCACUUAACGGGCAAACCGUCAAAUUGCCCGAUGGGUCUUAUAGCAAAAUCACCAUGAUGGUUCCCGAUGGCUUGAGCUUCGACCUUGGCAGACGUACGUUAACCAUAUAAAUUUCUUUUACUGAGCCAUUCUUUGUACCAUAUUUUCUUCUUUUUCAUCACACUAAGCAAUUAUCAACCUACACCAUCUUCUUUGCGGUAGGCACCAUGUUUAUCGUACCGCACUGAACACACUUCUGGCUUCGUCGGACACGCCCACCUCUCCAACGCCUCACCCGUGUGGACAACAUUCAUGGGUAAGCCCGAAAAUAACCGCCAGAAUUUGCCCUUCAACCCCGGAGCACGCCGAUCAGGCCCGCUCGUGUGGACAGGCCUUCAGUCUCAUAAGUUGUCAAACUGUUACAAAGUAGAUUGUGAAACGACAGUUUAUAAAGAAUCUGAAUUAGUUUGCAACUACUAAAUACGUACGAAAUGGCAAGUACAAAUUUAAAAUUAAGACAAAGACUAUAAUGAAAAAUUAAAAGUUGCUGUAAGAGAAUUUUAACCUGGUUUAGAAAAAAUAUAGGUGCAAAAUUACUAAUUACCCUAGUUUAGUAUACGUAUGUGCUAAAUUAGUUUUUUUUUUUAACACCCACUAAAUUCUGUAGCUCAGAUCGAAGGAUAUUUUAUAGAGCGAAUGGAAGUAAAUAGUGGCAACAGUUAACGCUAUAUUCUAGGUGGUUUUAUUUUACAUAUUACAAAACUAAAUUUUUACUCAAAAAAGCAAAAUUAAACUUAAGAGCUCGAAGCAUGCGAUAUGUAAAGCAAUAUUCAGAAAAAUGAUCAACGUUUUCUACAAUCAUUCAAUGAGUGACAGCUUUUUAAGGCAAUUUUAAUUAUUAUUUAACCUGCGCGUGCUUCUUUAUUACUAACUACCAAUCUUUACUGGUAAAUGUUUAGUGAUUACAACACUUACGAACCCAUACUUAGAUAUUUUAUAGAUAAUGACUAGUCGAGUUAUUUCUAAAGGAAGAGGUGCAAUAUUCUGAAAAGCAGAGCGUGAGCGUUUUGCGCAAAAAAUAAAAUAAAAUAAAAUAAAACAAAAUUAAAUUUUAAAUAAAAAUAAAUUAGAUAAAAUAUAAAUAAAAAUAAAUUAAAUAAAUAAAAAAUAAAAAAUACGUACAGAAAGAAGAAAGAAGAGUUCUUAAUAGUAGGAAAAUAUGGAGAGCAAAAUUCCCAGAGGAGAGCAGCUGCCAUAAUAUAUUAACCAGUCUGUAACAGAAAUCCCAUUCGGAAAAAGAAGGGAUGGGGAAUGCUGCAGAAACAGCUGGUUUUCAUGCCAAAAUAGAAAAUGAAAAAUUUCUGAGAGAGAGAGAGAGAGAGAGAGAGAAUCAGUCCCUAGCAUUUCAAAUACGAGUGGAUAUUAGGUAAUAGGCAAUACUAAUACCUGACAUUAAGUUAAGCUUGCGUGCGUUCUAUUAGUAAAAUAGCAGCUAUAGUACACUGCUUUUUCACGCUUAAGAGAUUAAGUGGUGCAUUACCAUGCUUAAUUCAUGCAAAGGUGUGACAAUAUGCAAAAUAAUGUACAUCCGUAUAGUGUUUUAGGUAAGUUUACAGUAAGUUUGCAGCAAAAUAGGAAAACUACUUAGGCCAAUCUUCAAUAGAUAAGAUAGGCUUGCAUAACCACAAAACAAGAACUG